UGGUCAACGAUGUCGAUUUGGAGGUUGUGCCCUUGAGGCGUGGCUUCCGAAGCUAACGCGUUAAAUCGACCGCCUGGGGAGUACGGCCGCAAGGUUAAAACUCAAAUGAAUUGACGGGGGCCCGCACAAGCGGUGGAGCAUGUGGUUUAAUUCGAUGCAACGCGAAGAACCUUACCUACUCUUGACAUCCAGCGAAUCCUGUAGAGAUACGGGAGUGCCUUCGGGAACGCUGAGACAGGUGCUGCAUGGCUGUCGUCAGCUCGUGUUGUGAAAUGUUGGGUUAAGUCCCGCAACGAGCGCAACCCUUAUCCUUUGUUGCCAGCGGUUCGGCCGGGAACUCAAAGGAGACUGCCAGUGAUAAACUGGAGGAAGGUGGGGAUGACGUCAAGUCAUCAUGGCCCUUACGAGUAGGGCUACACACGUGCUACAAUGGCGUAUACAAAGAGAAGCGAACUCGCGAGAGCAAGCGGACCUCAUAAAGUACGUCGUAGUCCGGAUUGGAGUCUGCAACUCGACUCCAUGAAGUCGGAAUCGCUAGUAAUCGUGGAUCAGAAUGCCACGGUGAAUACGUUCCCGGGCCUUGUACACACCGCCCGUCACACCAUGGGAGUGGGUUGCAAAAGAAGUAGGUAGCUUAACCUUCGGGAGGGCGCUUACCACUUUGUGAUUCAUGACUGGGGUGAAGUCGUCAUGG
rnacentral:rRNA from 2 species